GAUGAAGAACGCAGCGAAAUGCGAUAAGUAAUGUGAAUUGCAGAAUUCAGUGAAUCAUCGAAUCUUUGAACGCACAUUGCGCCCGCCAGUAUUCUGGCGGGCAUGCCUGUUCGAGCGUCAUUUCAACCCUCAAGCCCAGCUUGGUGUUGGGGAUCGGCACAGGCGCCCUCGGGCGCCCGCCGUCCCCUAAAUCUAGUGGCGGUCCCGCUGCAGCCUCCUCUGCGUAGUAGUUUUCUCCUCGCAAGGGCAGUUCGGUGGCGACCUCGCCGUAAAACCCCCAACUUCUGAAAGGUUGACCUCGAAUCAGGUAGGAAUACCCGCUGAACUUAAGCAUAUCAAUAAGCGGAGGA
rnacentral:misc_RNA from 1 species